rnacentral:lncRNA from 1 species
GAAAAUUUUAGUAAAUUAUAGUCAAUUUUUAUGCAAUGAAACUAUAUAGCUCUUUUUGUUAGAAAUUGUCUUACUAACUAAGCUGCUGGUGGUUCUGUGACGAAGUAGCUCCUGUUGGCUUCCCUUACACCGGGUCAGACACAGGACAUUAAUUAAGGCUGUGUGUGGUGUUUCUGAAAGGUGAGGAGACUGGGCAUUCUGUCUUUUACUCUACAGAUACAUCGUGGGAGACUCAAAGAUUAAAAUGUGGCCACUCACUGUGGAUCAGAAGCAGAAUCUCACAUCAUAACCCCAAAUGACCUGUUACUCACCAUGUGGCCCAGCUGUCUUCAAACUCACCAGCCUCCUGCCUUAGCCUUCUAAAUGCUUGGAUUACAGGCAUGACCCACCAUAACUGGCUUUGUUUUAGUUUCAGAGAAGAUGAAACUGAUGUGCGUCAAAAAGCUGGUAGUCUGUCAAGGAAAUGAGCUGAACAUGUCUGUGUACAGCUUUUGUGCCAUCCCUGGAUGAGCGAGCUGUCUGCCUCUAUGUUCUCCACAAAAUGGAAUAUAGCUGUACACCCAAGCCAAGUUAUGGAGGCUGGGAAGACCUAGAAUGUGGCAUCACUAUUUGGUUAUUUAGAAAAUUGUUACCUCAAAAAUGACCUAGGGGUCCUUAGAAUAAUAACACACAGAAGAAUAGCCUCAUUUUUCUGUUGGGCCCAGGAAACCAUGCCGAUUACCGACCGAGCUCUCAAUGGAAAAAUGCAGUCGGCGUGAACCACGCACGAACACAGCAGAGAAAGAAGAAAACACACACCACGAGGAACCCUAAUAGGACAAUACAUUAUAAGCCUCAUGGUACAUCCACUUGGUGUGCUGGGAGAGUCAGGAUGAGGACCUGAGAAGAACAGCAGCUUGAACCUGACUUCAUUUAACAGCCCACUGCCCUCUUGCCAAGAACCCAUCACAGACCUUCCCAGAAGAGAGGGAUGAGCCUCACCUAUGAAUAAGUCCUCAGAAACUCAAAUUUGAUUCUAAUGGAUUGUUUUCUCAGAAAGACUGAGCAUGUCCCCCCACAUCUCUGUCAUUUCCCACAGUAGUAACCUCUGCAGAUGCCACAUAGAAAACAAAACAAAACAAAAAAACAUGAGGUUGGUGGGCAGAUAGGCAGGGUAUAAACAAACAGCCUUGUAACCCAGAAGCUGUGUGAUAUACAGUAAACUUCACAACACUGAAAAGAUGUCCUAUCUGUUAAAAUGGGGUAAUAACAACUACCCGAAUGUUUAGGAAUAGAACUUCAAUAAAUGAUACAUUUUAUAGUACAGCAGACCAUCCUGUAAAGGUUUCAUCCUUCACUGUGGUGAUAAAUAUCCCAAACCACAUUGAAAAGCAUUGCAUCUACAUUUAUCUACACUGUAACUGUACUGUAAAUCAUGGGGGAGGGGAGAAUCAUAAAAACACCACCUGUCACCGUGUCAUUAAAGCAAGUUGGAAGUGAUACUUACAGAAACACAGCAAGAGCACCCCCAGUCACACAGUUCAAUCUCUUAGCAAGCGUUUUCUUUCUAGCCCAGUGGUUCUCAGUUUGGAAUUUUUGGCACUGCCUAGAGAUAGUUUUGUUGUUAAAACUGAGAAAAGAGCCGGGCGUGGUGGCACACGCCUUUAAUCCCAGCACUCAGGAGGCAGAGGCAGG